rnacentral:rRNA from 1 species
GUCUUUUUGAUAAAUAAUUUAAAGUCUAAUCUGCCCCCUGAAAUUAUUUUAAAGGGCUGCGGUAUCUUAACCGUACAAAGGUAGCAUAAUAAUUAGGUUUUUAAUUGAAAUCUUGAAUGAAUGAUUGGACGAGAUAUAAGCUAUUUUAAAAUAUAUAAAUUGAAUUUAAUUUUUUAGUUAAAAAGCUAAAAUGAAAUUAAAAGACGAGAAGACCCUAUAAAUCUUUAUAAUAAAGAUAUUUUAAUUAAUUAUUUUAAUAAAAAUUAAUUUUAAUACGAAAAUUAUUUUAUUGGGGUGAUAUAAAAAUUUUAUGAACUUUUUAUAGAUUAAAACUAAAAUUAAAGAUUUUUGAUAUUUGAGCUAUUAUUAAUAAUUUAAAGAAAAAGAUACUUUAGGGAUAACAGCGUCAUUUUAAUAUUAAGUUCAUAUUAAUAUUAAAGAUUGCGACCUCGAUGUUGGAUUAAAAUUUAAUUUAAAUGCAAAAGUUUAAAAAUUAAGUCUGUUCGACUUUUAAAAUUUU